AUUUAAACGCCUUCAACUCAAAAACUAGUAUUUGGCUCAUUCUUCAACCUGCUAAAUGAUUCCUUCUUUAAAAUUUAUUUAUAAUAAAUUGCCGGACGUAAAUUCCAUUUAUCCAUUAAUUACGAUACAAUUGCUUUCUUCGAUGACGCGCCUUUAAUUGAGACCCUCUUGUUCUCAACGACACAAUUCCAAAAUCUUAUUCAUCAUUUUCCCUUAUACAAACAAACACAAUACUCUCUUGUUCUGUGCAGAUCUACAACACUUCUCAAACUCAGAAUGGGAGGAGGCGGCGAUGAGGCUGGAGGAGACGGCGGAGGAGGUGGAAGAAUCAGGUGGCGAGGCUGUUCUUGCAGGAAGAGUGACUUUCUUCCGGAGGAGUCGUUCCAGAGCUGGGGAAAUUAUGUCAGAGCACUUGGCGAGACUCCUAUGCGGUUCAAGGAUAGGUUACUGACCCGAUCCAUGGACUCCACGGAGCUCCAUGAGAUGAAAGCUCGUAGUGAACAUGAUAUGAAGAAGAACCUCACUUGGUGGGACCUUAUCUGGUUUGGCAUCGGAGUCGUCAUCGGCUCCGGUAUCUUUGUUCUCACCGGCCUCGAGGCACGUGAACACGCCGGCCCUGCUAUUCUGUUGUCUUAUGUGGUGUCCGGAGUUUCGGCUAUGCUCUCUGUUUUUUGCUACACUGAGUUUGCUGUGGAAAUCCCUGUAGCAGGUGGAUCAUUUGCUUACCUUCGGGUAGAGUUAGGUGACUUUGUAGCCUUCAUAGCUGCUGGCAACAUCCUCCUUGAGUAUGUGAUUGGUGGUGCUGCGGUGGCUCGGUCAUGGACAUCUUAUUUCGCCACUCUCUGCAACCACGAACCCGAUGACUUCAGAAUCAUAGUCCAUAGCCUCGCCGAGGACUAUAGCCAUCUAGACCCCAUCGCUGUUGUAGUUUCCUUCGUCAUUUGUAUCUUUGCCGUUCUUAGCACCAAGGGCUCUUCCCGUUUCAAUUACCUCACCUCCAUCAUCCAUGUCGGUACAAUCGUCUUCAUCAUCGUCGCUGGCCUCGUCAAAGCAGACACCAAAAAUUACAGCUCCUUUGUUCCCUAUGGCCCCCGUGGUAUUUUCGUAGCUUCAGCAGUAAUUUUCUUUGCAUAUGUUGGAUUUGAUGCUAUUUCAACAAUGGCUGAAGAAACUAAAAACCCUGCUCGAGAUAUCCCAAUUGGUCUUGUGGGUUCAAUGAUAAUAAUUGCUUUAGCGUAUUGUUUGCUUGCUGCUACCUUGUGCCUAAUGGUUCCAUACAAGCAACUUGAUCGAGACGCUGCAUUUUCAGUAGCAUUUGAGUAUGUGGGUUUGAAUUGGGCUAAAUACAUCGUGGCUCUAGGUGCAUUGGAAGGUAUGACCACUGCUCUUCUCGUGGGAGCUGUAGGCCAAGCCCGAUAUCUCACGCACAUUGCUCGUACUCACAUGAUG
rnacentral:misc_RNA from 1 species